CUCUCUUCUUCAUCUUCCUUCACCUUCUUUUUGACUCUGGAAAGCCUCCCCCAAAGCCCAGGACAAAGAUGACUUUUGGAAGAUUGCCCAAAACGAUAGCUAGAGUGUGCCCUGGGCUCUGGGAGAUGGAGGAGAGAGGCGACAGGAGGAGUCAAUGGUUUGCCCAGUGCUGCGGGGAGGCGCUUUGCACGCUCUAGAUCGCAAGCCAAACGUCUAGUGCCAAGAGCUGUCAGGCAAAAGACUGGUCAGCUGGAGAGACUUCUCGGGACGCGGAGAGGUAGAACAGGUUUGCAGAGCGCUGGCAACCUCGGUUGACACUAAGGAUCUAUUGCCCCGCGCGCGCGCGAUGCGUGAGCUGAAUUGGGAUGGAAGGGCCUGUUGAAGAGCCAGGGAAGCAGCGUUUAGGAGAGAGUUUUCCGAGGCCACGCCGUGACGGUCGACAUUAAUAUUAGUGGAAAGACGCGUGCCCCGCAGUAAGAUCAUGAAAAGGGAUCCAGGAAAUGAAAGAGGAGAGGCAAGAAGGUAAGAAACACCCACGCGUUCCUCAGAAAUUGCGUGGGGAUGGGUGUCUUUAGUGGUUCAGGACUGUCAAGCUGACUCUGAGACUAUAGAAGAGACCACGCUAAUGCAACCCUCUACAACGGCAUCCUUAAACCCAGCAGAGCGGAAAGCUAAUGCCCUUUCCUUUCCGCCCGGAUGCAAGACUGGAUGGAAGGCAUCCAACAUGAUGAAAUACGGUGCAGAAGAAUGGUCUGGGCAGAAGGAGCGCUGGGUACUAAAGUUGCAUGACCAAAGAGAUCCGAGAGCUGUCUGCCACACCCCCUUCCUGCCUGGUUCCCUUUCUGACUGCCCUGGUCGCUCCCUUGGACUAUGAUGAACACGACUGCAGCGCCCCCUGCUGUGGGGAAGCUACAGGGCACAGAAAACACGUCCUUGCAGGGCUGACUUCCAACUUCCCCUUUUGCACCUAACCAGCAAGCUCUUCAAAGAUAAUAAGGAAAGUGGACUCCCUGGGUAUGUGGCAGCGAUCUGAAAAGUUUGAACGCCUGCAGAAUAAGGAUGUCUGACUUCACAAAGAAAUCGUUUGGAAACUGACAAAUGUGUGUUCAACCUCCAACAGGCAAAUUGUGAUUUGAUCAAAAUAUUAUGAGCACGUAGGAAGUUCUCAAAUAAUAUAUUGAAGAUGGUGAUUCUUGUUCUUCAGUGCUCCCCGGUAUAAUGUAUUUUUUAAAGUUUUUUUAAAAAUCAUACCAGUUGCUCCAUUCGGAUCCUCUCUGACCUUCUUCUGAGCUUAUGUAUUGAUAUUGGAUCCUGGGGCACUGGGGGAAGAAUAAAUACUUAAGUCAGAUACCUAGAUUUGAGUAUCAACUCAGCUAUUAAUUAUUUGAGUAAGUUGGGGCCAAUCACCUCCUUCACCCCUCACUUAUAAAUACUACUUUGGUUGGGUGAGUUUCCAUGUAAAUAAAGCAUCCAGAGGGGGACUGCAGAUUUUACAACUUCAAAAGUAUUUAAAACUUAGCCUGCAAAAUAAAAACAUCUUCAUAAAAGUUAUGAAGACCCCGUUCUAAAGUAUACAAGCUAAAGAACUGAUUAUGUACCACAAAAGCUGUGAAGCUGAGAUCUUAAUUUUCUUGGCACUGGGUUGCAGCCCUUGGGUUGAAGAGAGCAAACGGCUGCUGAGGGCCAUGGCCAUGCACAAGGAACAACAAAUGGUCUUAAAACUCAUGGAAUGUUGUCCACUGGUUACCACAGCCACGCUGGAUUUUCCUCGGUAGGGAAUGACCCCGAGGAUCACGUGUCCUGAGGACUUCAUGCUGUAAUGGAGUUCUGCUCUGCUUGCUGCCCUCACAUCACUCUUAAUCUAAGAGAACUCUAAAGAGGCUUGCAGACUCUCACUGGGCAGUAUCUCUGGCACUCACAACAACAUUGCUUGAUUCCUUUCAGGCAUUGCUGCUGGAAGAGAUUCAACUGAUUCAACACCACCCUAGAAAAGAAUCUAGAGACAUAGAUUGUAAGUUAUGACAGCCGCCCUUGGAAAGCAUUUGGAAAAAUAAAAUUGUGAGUGAAGCUAGGUUAAGAUGCUUUUGCUACAGGCUCCCAGUGUAGAAAAUCUUAGGGAACAAUUUGAAGUUCAAAAAGGCACACUUUUAUUUGUUAAGCUAGGGACCUUUUAUGGUCAGGGAAUAAGAACAAUGGCAGCACUGGCUGAUGAUUCACAAUGAGGCUGGACUGAUGAUUUCUUUCUUUCUUCCUUUCUUUCUCUCUCUGUCUUUCUUUCUUUCUUCCUUUCUUUCUUCUUUCUUUCCUUCCUCCCUUCCUUCCUUCCUUCCUCCCUUCUUUCCUUCUUUCUUCUUCUUUCCUUCUUCCUUUCUUUCUUUCUUAAUUUCUUUCUUUCUUUCCAUUUAUUUAUUUAUUUAUUUAUUUAUUACUUAUUCACUUUAUAUCCUUCUCACUUCCCCCUUUCUGGUCACCCUCUCCCACAAUCCUUCCUCCAUCCUCCAUCUCCUUCUCUUCUAGGCAGAUGAGAGUCCCCUUGGCUAUCCCCCCACUCUGAUACUUCAAGUCUCUGCCAGGCUAGGUGCUUCCUUUCCCACCGAGGCCAGACAAAGUAACCCAGCUAGAAGACCAUAUCUCACAUAUAGGCAGCAGCUUUUGGGGUAGCUCCCAUUCCUAUUAUUCAGGAUCCGCAUGAAGACCAAGCUGUCCAUCUGCUAUAUGUGAGCUGGAAGAGCUAGUUCCAGCCAGUGUAUGUUCUUUGGUUGGAAGCUGAGGCUCUUAGAGCCUCAAGGGUCCAGAUUAGUUGACUUUGUUGGUCUUCUUGUGGAGUUCGAUCCCCAUCAGGACCCACAGUCCUUCCUCCUAUUCUUCCAUGAGUCCCCAAGCUCCAUCCACAGUUUGACUUUGUGUGUCUAUAUCUAUCUGAGUCAGCUGCUGGGUGGAGCCUCUCAGAGGACAGCCAUGCUAGACUCCUGUCUGCAAGUAUAACAGAGUAUCAUUAAUAGUGUUAGGGAUUGGUACUUGCCCAUGGAAUGAAUCUCAAGUUGGGUCAGUUAUUGGUAGGCUAUUCCAAAAAUACCUUAUUUUGCUUUCACCUUUUCUGAUAUGAUUUAAUAAGAAUUGCUGGUGAGGAGAUAUGCAUUCUGAGGAUUUAAAGUAGGUCUGGAUGAUUUUUCUAUAAAAACUGAGAUUUCUGUUUCUUUUAAGAUUCUUAUAAGAAAAUAUUUGAUCUUUUCUUUGUAACCGCAAAUCACUGCCUGCCAGUAAGAGAAACUGGCUGAGAAAACUGUCUUGCUUACUUACACUUUGUUAAUCUAUAGCAAGUUGCUUAGUUACAAAUGUAUGUAGGUUCUUAGGAAUAAUUUUUUUUAACCUGUGCUACCUAACGUUAUUUCUUGUAAAGGUGUUGGGGAACACACUGUUUCUUCAUAGUCAUUUCCUGGAAGAAAACUAGAUCAUAAUCACACUGUAAUUUUAUACUGCUUGAAAGGUUUUGCUGGGAUAUAUAUGCCAUACAAUAAGGAAUAAAGUUGUUGGAACAUUGUUCCUUCCAUCCA
rnacentral:lncRNA from 1 species